CCUACGGGUGGCUGCAGUGGGGAAUAUUGCACAAUGGGGGAAACCCUGAUGCAGCGACGCCGCGUGAGUGAAGAAGUAUUUCGGUAUGUAAAGCUCUAUCAGCAUGGAAGAAAAUGACGGUACCUGUUUAAGAAGCCCCGUCUAACUACGAGCCAGCAGCCGGGGUAAUAUGGAGGGGGCAAGCGUUAUCCGGAUUUACUGGGUGUAAAGGGAGCGUAGACGGCAGCACAAGUCUGGAGUGAAAUGCCGGGGCUUAACCACGGAACUGCGUUGGAAACUGUGGAGCUAGAGUGCAGGAGAGGUAAGUGGAAUUCGUGGUGUAGCGGUGAAAUGCGUAGAUAUUAGGAGGAACACCAGUGGCGAAGGCGGCUUACUGGACUGUAACUGACGUUGAGGCUCGAAAGCGUGGGGAGCAAACAGGGUUAGAUACCCCUGUAGUC
rnacentral:rRNA from 1 species